GACGAACGCAGGCGGCGUGCCUAAUACAUGCAAGUAGGACGCACAGUUUAUACCGUAGCUUGCUACACCAUAGACUGUGAGUUGCGAACGGGUGAGUAACGCGUAGGUAACCUGCCUAUUAGAGGGGGAUAACUAUUGGAAACGAUAGCUAAUACCGCAUAACAGUAUGUAACACAUGUUAGAUGCUUGAAAGAUGCAAUUGCAUCGCUAGUAGAUGGACCUGCGUUGUAUUAGCUAGUAGGUAGGGUAAAGGCCUACCUAGGCAACGAUACAUAGCCGACCUGAGAGGGUGAUCGGCCACACUGGGACUGAGACACGGCCCAGACUCCUACGGGAGGCAGCAGUAGGGAAUCUUCGGCAAUGGGGGGAACCCUGACCGAGCAACGCCGCGUGAGUGAAGAAGGUUUUCGGAUCGUAAAGCUCUGUUGUUAAGGAAGAACGAGUGUGAGAAUGGAAAGUUCAUAC
rnacentral:rRNA from 1 species